UUAUUUUUAUUAGUAAUUUUUUGGAAAACGCUUUACAAAUCUAUGUUUAAUGUGACAAAAUCAUAAUUUAGAUUUUAGUUUAUACUUUGGUUAAAAAAAUGAGUCUUAUUAGCACAUUGGCUUCUGUUCUGGAUUUGUUGAUUCUUCCUAGUGAAGUACAACAAAGUUUAAUUGGUAUGCUGAAUUUUCAGAACCUGCGAGUAGAUAAUAUUCUCUCCGAGCAGACGCAAAAACAUGUUCCUAUUUGUGGUCAGAUAUUGACUAACAAGUAAAGGCUGGAGAUCCUAUUAGCAAAGCUGAAAUACUAUUUUUUACUAAAGUUUGUGGGCGUUAUCUAAUGAAAAAUUGUAUUGAAAAAGAUAGACCAACUCCAACUGAAAAGCAGGACAUGUCGAAGUCAAUUGUUGCUUGUUUUCCUACUUUGCACGAUGAAACAGCUAGUGCUAUGGAUACUUUUUUGAUAGAAAGUCAUUUACUGGAAAGCUGGAACAUUUUGUUCGAAGCAGACGAUCAAAUUGUAAAGACAUAGCAUCACUAUGGAAACAUCCUGCACAAAGCAUAAAGUGAAUAUUUUUUCCUCAAGACUAUUUUAUUUUUAAAAAAAUUAAUUUUCAAAGUAA